AGCCAUCAUGGUAGGGUGUCCAGGGUGAGGGGAGGGUGGUGUGAAUCCCCAGUAAUGCAGGUCCUUUCCAGGCCAGGCCCCUGGUCCCCAGGAGUGCGGGGAUGCCUGAGGUCUACUGCUGCCUUAUCCAGAGCUGCCAUCCCCGGCGAUGACUCAGAGUUCCUGUGGCCCCAGCAUCAUCCCUCCAUCCCUGGCUGUGAGGCAGGAGCAGAGUUGCAGACCUGAGAGGCCUUGAAUUUGUUUGAUAUAGGACUUUGCCACCAGACAAAGUGCUUUGCCUGUGAGGUCUGGCUUGGCCUGGCCUCUGAGAAAGAACAAACACAGACCUCACUGGAAGGAACCUGGAGAACGGGAGAGGAGAGGCUGCUGCUGUCUGCCCUCCCAGCAGCAGAUAUAAAGACAAUGGGCUUCUAAGUCCCCUAGAGUCCCAGCUGUGUAAUUUAAGGCAAAUAUAAUUUCUGACCUACGUAAUGAUGUAUGCACAAGAAGCCUCUCUUGAAUGUAUUAAUUCAGUAAACAGUUAUGGAGUCCUUACAAUGUGCUAGUGGGACUUUGAAGAUGAAUCCAAAUUUGGAUCCUGGCCUGGAAAGGCUCAAAGCCCAAUAUGGGAGACGGACCUUGCAGGUGGCAAUCGUGCAUGGGAGGACAUGGUGGUGGCAGGGUUCCUGACUGUGGCUGUGGGUGGCCUGGACUUGGCAGUGGAGGGAGAUUCAUUCAGAGAAGAGCGAUGGAGCUGCUAUGUUCACCCACUUUCCCAAUUAUAGCCCCUCUCCUCCAGGGCAUUUGCUGGGGGUGGGGGGUGGCGGAAUAAAGUCC
rnacentral:lncRNA from 1 species